rnacentral:rRNA from 1 species
GACAAACGCUGGCGGCGUGCCUAACACAUGCAAGUCGAGCGCGAAAGGGACCUUCGGGUCCCCUGAAAGCGGCGAACGGGUGAGUAACACGUGGGCAACCUGCCUCAAGGACUGGGAUAACUCCGGGAAACCGGGGCUAAUACCGGGCGAUGUCGUCUGACGCAAGUCGGCCGACCAAACGGUAGCUUCGGCCUCCGCCUUGAGAUGGGCCCGCGUCCUAUCAGCUUGUUGGUGAGGUAAUGGCUCACCAAGGCUACGACGGGUAGCUGGUCUGAGAGGAUGAUCAGCCACACUGGGACUGAGAUACGGCCCAGACUCCUACGGGAGGCAGCAGUGGGGAAUUUUGCGCAAUGGGCGAAAGCCUGACGCAGCAACGCCGCGUGAGCGAAGAAGGCCUUCGGGUCGUAAAGCUCUGUCAGGGGAAAAGAAGGCACCUGGGUUAAUAGCCCAAGGGCUGACGGUACCCCCAAAGGAAGCCACGGCUAACUACGUGCCAGCAGCCGCGGUAAUACGUAGGUGGCGAGCGUUGUCCGGAAUCAUUGGGCGUAAAGAGCGCGUAGGUGGCUUGUCAGGUCUGAUGUGAAAUCCUGGGGCUCAACUCCAGAACUGCAUCGGAAACCGGCUUGCCAGAGUCUGGGAGAGGAGAGUGGAAUUCCUGGUGUAGCGGUGAAAUGCGUAGAUAUCAGGAGGAACACCGGUAGCGAAGGCGGCUCUCUGGAACAGUACUGACGCUGAGGCGCGAAAGCUA